AGAGUUUGAUCAUGGCUCAGAUUGAACGCUGGCGGCAGGCCUAACACAUGCAAGUCGAGCGGUAACACAGAGAGCUUGCUCUCGGGUGACGAGCGGCGGACGGGUGAGUAAUGUCUGGGAAACUGCCUGAUGGAGGGGGAUAACUACUGGAAACGGUAGCUAAUACCGCAUAACGUCGCAAGACCAAAGUGGGGGACCUUCGGGCCUCAUGCCAUCAGAUGUGCCCAGAUGGGAUUAGCUAGUAGGUGGGGUAAUGGCUCACCUAGGCGACGAUCCCUAGCUGGUCUGAGAGGAUGACCAGCCACACUGGAACUGAGACACGGUCCAGACUCCUACGGGAGGCAGCAGUGGGGAAUAUUGCACAAUGGGCGCAAGCCUGAUGCAGCCAUGCCGCGUGUAUGAAGAAGGCCUUCGGGUUGUAAAGUACUUUCAGCGAGGAGGAAGGCGUUAAGGUUAAUAACCUUGGCGAUUGACGUUACUCGCAGAAGAAGCACCGGCUAACUCCGUGCCAGCAGCCGCGGUAAUACGGAGGGUGCAAGCGUUAAUCGGAAUUACUGGGCGUAAAGCGCACGCAGGCGGUCUGUCAAGUCGGAUGUGAAAUCCCCGGGCUCAACCUGGGAACUGCAUUCGAAACUGGCAGGCUAGAGUCUUGUAGAGGGGGGUAGAAUUCCAGGUGUAGCGGUGAAAUGCGUAGAGAUCUGGAGGAAUACCGGUGGCGAAGGCGGCCCCCUGGACAAAGACUGACGCUCAGGUGCGAAAGCGUGGGGAGCAAACAGGAUUAGAUACCCUGGUAGUCCACGCCGUAAACGAUGUCGACUUGGAGGUUGUGCCCUUGAGGCGUGGCUUCCGGAGCUAACGCGUUAAGUCGACCGCCUGGGGAGUACGGCCGCAAGGUUAAAACUCAAAUGAAUUGACGGGGGCCCGCACAAGCGGUGGAGCAUGUGGUUUAAUUCGAUGCAACGCGAAGAACCUUACCUACUCUUGACAUCCAGAGAACUUAGCAGAGAUGCUUUGGUGCCUUCGGGAACUCUGAGACAGGUGCUGCAUGGCUGUCGUCAGCUCGUGUUGUGAAAUGUUGGGUUAAGUCCCGCAACGAGCGCAACCCUUAUCCUUUGUUGCCAGCGGUUCGGCCGGGAACUCAAAGGAGACUGCCAGUGAUAAACUGGAGGAAGGUGGGGAUGACGUCAAGUCAUCAUGGCCCUUACGAGUAGGGCUACACACGUGCUACAAUGGCAUAUACAAAGAGAAGCGACCUCGCGAGAGCAAGCGGACCUCAUAAAGUAUGUCGUAGUCCGGAUUGGAGUCUGCAACUCGACUCCAUGAAGUCGGAAUCGCUAGUAAUCGUAGAUCAGAAUGCUACGGUGAAUACGUUCCCGGGCCUUGUACACACCGCCCGUCACACCAUGGGAGUGGGUUGCAAAAGAAGUAGGUAGCUUAACCUUCGGGAGGGCGCUUACCACUUUGUGAUUCAUGACUGGGGUGAAGUCGUAACAAGGUAACCGUAGGGGAACCUGCGGUUGGAUCACCU
rnacentral:rRNA from 1 species